rnacentral:rRNA from 1 species
UACGAAGGGGGCUAGCGUUGUUCGGAAUUACUGGGCGUAAAGCGCGUGUAGGCGGGUCUUUAAGUCAGGGGUGAAAUGCCAAGGCUCAACCUUGGAACUGCCUUUGAUACUGGAGAUCUUGAGUCCGGGAGAGGUGAGUGGAACUGCGAGUGUAGAGGUGAAAUUCGUAGAUAUUCGCAAGAACACCGGUGGCGAAGGCGGCCAACUGGACGGUGACUGACACUGAGACGCGAAAGCGUGGGGAGCAAACAGG